rnacentral:rRNA from 1 species
AAGUUCUGGUGCCAGCAUCUGCGGUAAUUCCAGCUCCAAUAGCGUAUAUGUAAAUUGUUGCGGUUGAAAAGCUCGUAGUUGGACUUCUGGCGUCCGGAUUUGGUCCGCCUCGAGCGAGYACUGGAUCCGGUCGUCGUUUGUGUCGACGAGGUUCGUCGGACUUCACUGGCUGGCGUUCUCCAGUCGACAGGGUUACUUUGAGGAAAUCAGAGUGCUCAAGGCAAGCGCACGCUCGUGACUUCACUAGCAUGGAAUAACACAGAUGGGCUCUUUUUCGCAACGUUGGUCUGCGUCAAUUGAGCAACGAUCGAUAGAGACGGUCGGGGGCAUUCGUAUUGCGCAGUUAGAGGUGAAAUUCUCCGAUCUGCGCAAGACGCACUAAUGCGAAAGCAGUUGCCAAGGACGUCCUCUUAUGAUCAAGAGCGAAAGUCGGGGGAUCAAAGAUGAUUAGAUACCGUCGUAGUCCCGACCAUAAAUGAUGCCGACUGAGCGUCGGCGACUCGGCCAUCGGCCGUACGUCGGCGCUCUUGAGAGAAAUUAAAGUCUUUGGGCUCCGGGGGUAGUAUGGU